AACAACUUGCUUGCCUUAACUCUCUUCCUAUUUUUCCGCACGUAGAUUAAUGUAGUUUAACCAAAUUAGUUAGGGAUGAUAGCCCAUUCAUGAGCAAUAUUGCGAGAUGUUGGUUGCCUUUUAGAGAAAAUCUGGAUCGUGGGGUGACUCUGGCUGUAAACUGAACUUGGUUCAGUUAAAAACCAAACUGUCAAAUCUGGACAGCAAGCUUAUAUCUGAAAAAUGUGUUAGCUAGGCUCAGAACUUUGAGUUGGCCCCUUUACAUAAGUUUUAGAUAAAGUUCCAAGGUUUCUUUAGAGUAUUUAUUUGUGUCGUUUGGAUGUACGGUUUGAGAGCAGCUAUCAGUUUAGUUUGCUGUCCCGAAAUAUAUGUUCCUGGGUACAGUAUUUUGAUAUGGGAGAUUAGGCCCUGUUAGAGGUGGUAUUAAAAUAAAGUUACAACAUGAAAAUUUUAGAGGCUGUUCUGUAGAUACUUAAACACAUAUCACUUGUCAGGUUUCGUUUGGUAUAUUAAAUCCUAUGAAAUUAUCAAAGUGGGCUGUACUAUGUUGGACAGAAUUUUAUGUUUGGACUUGGGUGAAUGUAACCAGACUUAUACUCUCAGAUUUUGUCAUAGUUGAUGGUGUGAGGACUUAUAAUGUGAUAAAGUAUAUACGUUGUUGCAACACCAAAAUCAGUGAAAUAUAUUUCCUUUUUUUGCUGCCGAUGACAUCUCCUGGAAUCUUGACUCCAUAAAGUAAGGAUUUAGAUAACAUCAUAUGUUCAGAGUUCAGUUCUUUUCUUAUCUGAAACUAACAUAGUUUACAAUGGGCAUGAUGGAUGUUGCAGGUUCAUUGAUGACAGCCAAGGGUUCAUGCUCGGAAACGACUACAUCUUGCUCCAUGUUGUCGGCUCAGCUAAGAGGUGAUUGACGCUGACUAGCACAGCCCGGUGGCGCUGUGCUCUUCGACCACUCGGAGACGGACUUCGCCGUGGAGCCUGGUUGACACGUUGCAUAGAUGAUCGUCCAGGUGAUUUCGACGCCGGAGGUCGCCGAGGUGGAGGUACUUGACGCCACCGUCCGGGGGAGGGAGGAUUCGAGUCCAUCGACGUCUGAACUCCGAGCCUAGGUAGAUACAUCUAGAGAAGUGGUCUGUUUAGGUUGGUGGUAGACCACUAGGGAAGGUACCCACCUUACGAUGAUGAUGAUGAUGGUUGUGUGUGUGAUGUUAAAUGGAAUCUUGAGAUGGUUCCGUGACAUGUUAAAUGGAAUAUUGAGAUGGUUCAGUGACAUUCGUUUGUUUUGCAUUGGACGUAUUACUAUUCAUGAAUACUACAUCUAAUUUUUA